rnacentral:rRNA from 1 species
AUUGAACGCUGGCGGCAGGCCUAACACAUGCAAGUCGAACGGCAGCACAGAAGAGCUUGCUCUUUGGGUGGCGAGUGGCGGACGGGUGAGUAAUGCCUGGGAAACUGCCCGAUGGAGGGGGAUAGCUACUGGAAACGGUAGCUAAUACCGCAUAGCGUCGCGAGACCAAAGUGGGGGACCUUCGGGCCUCACACCAUCGGAUGUGCCCAGAUGGGAUUAGCUAGUAGGUGGGGUAAUGGCUCACCUAGGCGACGGUCCCUAGCUGGUCUGAGAGGAUGACCAGCCACACUGGAACUGAGACACGGUCCAGACUCCUACGGGAGGCAGCAGUGGGGAAUAUUGCACAAUGGGCGCAAGCCUGAUGCAGCCAUGCCGCGUGUAUGAAGAAGGCCUUCGGGUUGUAAAGUACUUUCAGCGGGGAGGAAGGCGGUGAGGUUAAUAACCUUGCCGAUUGACGUUACCCGCAGAAGAAGCACCGGCUAACUCCGUGCCAGCAGCCGCGGUAA